rnacentral:rRNA from 1 species
ACGUAGGUGACGAGCGUUGUUCGGAAUUAUUGGGCGUAAAGGGUUCGUAGGAUGUUUAUUAAGAUUGGUGUGAAAUCCCAAGGCUCAACCUUGGAACUGCAUUGAUUACUGAUGAACUAGAGUAUCGUAGAGGAAAGCGGAAUUCCAGGUGUAGCGGUGGAAUGCGUAGAUAUGCGGAAGAACACCGAUAGCGAAGGCAGUUUUCUGGGCGAGAACUGACUCUGAGGCACGAAAGCAUGGGGAGCAAACAG